GUUGGUUAGAGCUCGACAACUGUCUCGCUGUAGCUCAGUUGGUUAGAGCUUGACAACUGUCUUUCUGUAGCUCAGUUGGUUAGAGCUUCACAACUGUCUCUUUGUAGUCCUAUAUAAUACCAUGUUUGUAUUUCAAUGUUUUUGUGUAUAUUUUGACAUCUAGAUUGCAUCAAAGAUGGGAGACAUGCCUUCAUCAAGCAGUCAAGGAGUGGAUGCGUCUGUACUGGCUGACAAAAUAAAAACCUUAGUAUUACCG